rnacentral:rRNA from 1 species
AUACGGAGGAUGCAAGCGUUAUCCGGAUUUAUUGGGUUUAAAGGGUGCGUAGGCGGAUGAUUAAGCGUGAGGUGAAAUGCCACUGCUCAACAGUGGAACUGCCUCGCGAACUGGUUGUCUUGAAUGCUCCUGCCGUGGGAGGAAUGUGUGGUGUAGCGGUGAAAUGCAUAGAGAUCACACAGAACACCGAUUGCGAAGGCAUCUCACGAAGGGGUGAUUGACGCUGAGGCACGAAAGCGUGGGGAUCAAACAGGAUUAGAUACCCUGGUAGUCCACGCAGUAAACGAUGAUAACUAACCGCUGGGUCGUAGUGAUUCAGUGGCCAAGCGAAAGCGAUAAAUUAUCCACCUGGGGAGUACGACCGCAAGGUUGAAACUCAAAUGAAUUGACGGGG